GACGAACGCUGGCGGCGUGCCUAAUACAUGCAAGUCGAGCGGACAGAAGGGAGCUUGCUCCCGGAAGUUAGCGGCGGACGGGUGAGUAACACGUGGGCAACCUACCCUGUAGAUCGGGAUAACAUCGAGAAAUCGGUGCUAAUACCGGAUAAUCAUUUGAAGUGCAUGCUACGAAUGUAAAAGAUGGCUCCGGCUAUCACUACGGGAUGGGCCCGAGGCGCAUUAGCUAGUUGGUAAGGUGAUGGCUUACCAAGGCAACGAUGCGUAGCCGACCUGAGAGGGUGAUCGGCCACACUGGGACUGAGACACGGCCCAGACUCCUACGGGAGGCAGCAGUAGGGAAUCUUCCGCAAUGGACGAAAGUCUGACGGAGCAACGCCGCGUGAGUGAUGAAGGUUUUCGGAUCGUAAAGCUCUGUUGUUAGGGAAGAACAAGUGCCGUUUGAAUAAGGCGGCACCUUGACGGUACCUAACCAGAAAGCCACGGCUAACUACGUGCCAGCCGCCGCGGUAAUAC
rnacentral:rRNA from 1 species